rnacentral:rRNA from 1 species
GCGGUAAUUCCAGCUCCAAUAGCGUAUAUUAAAGUUGUUGCAGUUAAAAAGCUCGUAGUUGAAUUUUGGAGUGAGGACGGGGUGCGCCGCGAGGUGUUAACUCUGUGCUUGCUCCUUUCUUCUGGGAUGAGCGGUGCGCUUUACUGCGUGUCGUGAGUGCCAGGACAUUUACUUUGAAAAAAUUAGAGUGUUCAAAGCAGGCGUUGUUUGAAUACAUUAGCAUGGAAUAAUAGAAUAGGACUUUGGUUCUAUUUUGUUGGUUUCUAGGACCAGAGUAAUGAUUAAUAGGGAUAGUUGGGGGCAUUAGUAUUUAAUUGUCAGAGGUGAAAUUCUUGGAUUUAUGAAAGACUAACUUCUGCGAAAGCAUUUGCCAAGGAUGUUUUCAUUAAUCAAGAACGAAAGUUAGGGGAUCAAAGACGAUCAGAUACCGUCGUAGUCUUAACCAUAAACUAUGCCGACUAGGGAUCGGACGAUGUAAAUUGACGCGUUCGGCACCUUGUGAGAAAUCAAAGUUUUUGGGUUCCGGGGGGAGUAUGGUCGCAAGGCUGAAACUUAAAGGAAUUGACGGAAGGGCACCACCAGGAGUGGAGCCUGCGGCUUAAUUUGACUCAACACGGGGAAACUCACCAGGUCCAGACAUGGUAAGGAUUGACAGAUUGAGAGCUCUUUCUUGAUUCUAUGGGUGGUGGUGCAUGGCCGUUCUUAGUUGGUGGAUUGAUUUGUCUGGUUAAUUCCGAUAACGAACGAGACCUUAACCUGCUAAAUAGUUGGGGCCACUUUGGUGGUCGUUCAACUUCUUAGAGGGACUAUCGGCGACUAGCCGAUGGAAGUUUGAGGCAAUAACAGGUCUGUGAUGCCCUUAGAUGUUCUGGGCCGCACGCGCGCUACACUGACAAAGGCAACGAGUUUUUCCUUGGCCGGAAGGUCUGGGUAAUCUUGUGAAACUUUGUCGUGCUGGGGAUAGUCCUUUGCAAUUAUUGGACUUGAACGAGGAAUUCCUAGUAAGCGUGAGUCAUCAGCUCGCGUUGAUUACGUCCCUGCCCUUUGUACACACCGCCCGUCGCUACUACCGAUUGAAUGGCUUAGUGAGACCUCUGGAUUUGUGGCCUGCUGCUGGUGACGGCGGUGGGCUAUGGAGAAACUGGUCAAACUUGGUCAUUUAGAGGAAGUAAAAGUCGUAACAAGGUAACCGUAGGUGAACCUGCGGUUGGAUCAUUC